UUCGGCACACAGCUCAGUAGCACGUGGCUAACCUGCCCUUGGGACGGGAACACCCCGGGAAACUGGGGCUAGAUCCCGAUAGGUGAAGAUUCCUGGAAUGGAUUUUUGCCGCAACGACGUUUAGGGCAUGCUUCUAGGCGUUGCCCAAGGAUGGGGCCGCGGCCGAUCAGGUUGUUGGUGAGGUAAUGGCUCACCAAGCCUUUAACCGGUUCGGGCCGUGGGAGCGGUAGCCCGGAGAUGGGCACUGAGACAAGGGCCCAGGCCCUACGGGGCGCAGCAGUCGCGAAAACUUCGCAAUAAGCGAAAGCUUGACGGGGCCAUCCCGAGUGCCAUCUGCUGAGGAUGGCUUUUACCCAGUAUAGAUAGCUGGGGGAAUAAGGAGAGGGCAAGUCUGGUGUCAGCCGCCGCGGUAAUACCAGCUCUCCGAGUUGUGGGGACGUUUAUUGAGCCUAAAGCAUCCGUAGCCGGCUGGGCAAGUCCUCUGUUAAAUCCAGCGACAAAUCGUUGGCCUGCGGGGGAUACUGCUCGGCUAGGGGGCGGGAGAGGCCGCCGGUAUUCUUGGGGUAGGGGUGAAAUCCUAUAAUCCCAGGAGGACCACCAGUGGCGAAGGCUGUCGGCUAGAACGCGCCCGACGGUGAGGGAUGAAAGCUGGGGGAGCGAACCGGAUUAGAUACCCGGGUAGUCCCAGCUGUAAACGAUGCAGGCUAGGUGUUAGGGCGGCUACGUGCCGCUCUAGUGCCGCAGGGAAGCUGUUAAGCCUGCCGCUUGGGGAGUACGNCCGCAAGCUGAACUUAAAGGCCA
rnacentral:rRNA from 1 species